rnacentral:rRNA from 1 species
AUGGGUCGCAAGAAGAUUGCCCUCGAGUACAUCAACAACGAAUCGAGUCGGCGCCGUACCUUCGAGACGCGUGGUAAGAACCUAGCAAGUAAGGCAGAUGAGGUUUCUAUCAUGUGCAACGCCAAGGCUUGUGUGUUGGUGUACGACGAGGGCAAUGCGGCGCCAAAGGUGUACCCGUCCCACGCCGAUGCAGUGGAUAUCCUGAAUCAGUGCAAAAACAUGCCAGAGGGACAGCUCAAGAAGGCGGUGAACUAGGAAGACUUCCUCACCCAGCGCCUCAACAAGCUCCAGGUCAAGGAAAACAUUGUACGAGACCCCGAGAUCAGGAUCCUGCUACACAAGGCCAUGCUCGGCAGUGACCUCCCCGACCUCAAAGUCGAUGAAAUCACCAGCGUCAGUAGCAGGCUAGAGGAGAUCCUCGAGAGAAUGGGCGAUAGCAUUGCAAAAUUUAGUGGAAAGCCUCCUGUCUUGCAGCCACAGGCACCAUAUGUCCCUGACAACAUGGACAUGGGGUCUUCGGCAACGUAUCAGGCAUCACCGCUAGCUCCACAUGUCCCCAAAAACAUGGACAUGGGGUCUCAGGUGAUGAAUCAGGCGCCAUCGUCCACUCCAUACGUCACUGGAAACAUGCACAUGGGGUCUCCAAUGAUGUAUCAUGUGCCGCCGCUACAUGAGGGUUGGCUCGAGAAGGUGAGAUCUGGAAGGGACCUCGACGCCCUGGUCCAUAAUGGCUAUAGCACCAAUAGGCAUGAUGGUGCCUACACCAGCACCGGUGUCGGCUAUAGCACCAAUGGGCACGACGGCGCCGGUACCAGUGACAACGAUGGCUCUUCCGGUGGGAUGAAGCCCUUUGAUGUGGGGUUUGGUUGGCAAUCGGGCGGCGUCGAUCCUGAAGAAUCAUCUUGGAGUCUUUUCCCUCCCAUGUAA